GACGAACGCUGGCGGCGUGCUUAACACAUGCAAGUCGAACGGAAAGGCCCUGCUUGCAGGGUACUCGAGUGGCGAACGGGUGAGUAACACGUGGGUGAUCUGCCCUGCACUUCGGGAUAAGCUUGGGAAACUGGGUCUAAUACCGGAUAGGAACCAUCUUUAGUGUGGUGGUUGGAAAGUUUUUUCGGUGUAGGAUGAGCUCGCGGCCUAUCAGCUUGUUGGUGGGGUAAUGGCCUACCAAGGCGGCGACGGGUAGCCGGCCUGAGAGGGUGUACGGCCACAUUGGGACUGAGAUACGGCCCAGACUCCUACGGGAGGCAGCAGUGGGGAAUAUUGCACAAUGGGCGCAAGCCUGAUGCAGCGACGCCGCGUGGGGGAUGAAGGCCUUCGGGUUGUAAACUCCUUUCGCUAGGGACGAAGCUUUUUUGUGACGGUACCUAGAUAAGAAGCACCGGCUAACUACGUGCCAGCAGCCGCGGUAAUACGUAGGUGGCAAGCGUUGUCCGGAAUUAUUGGGCGUAAAGCGCGCGCAGGCGGAUCAGUCAGUCUGUCUUAAAAGUUCGGGGCUUAACCCCGUGAGGGGAUGGAAACUGCUGAUCUAGAGUAUCGGAGAGGAAAGUGGAAUUCCUAGUGUAGCGGUGAAAUGCGUAGAUAUUAGGAAGAACACCAGUGGCGAAGGCGACUUUCUGGACGAAAACUGACGCUGAGGCGCGAAAGCCAGGGGAGCGAACGGGAUUAGAUACCCCGGUAGUCCUGGCCGUAAACGAUGGGUACUAGGUGUAGGAGGUAUCGACCCCUUCUGUGCCGGAGUUAACGCAAUAAGUACCCCGCCUGGGGAGUACGACCGCAAGGUUGAAACUCAAAGGAAUUGACGGGGGCCCGCACAAGCGGUGGAGUAUGUGGUUUAAUUCGACGCAACGCGAAGAACCUUACCAGGUCUUGACAUUGAUGGACAGAACCAGAGAUGGUUCCUCUUCUUCGGAAGCCAGAAAACAGGUGGUGCACGGUUGUCGUCAGCUCGUGUCGUGAGAUGUUGGGUUAAGUCCCGCAACGAGCGCAACCCCUAUCUUAUGUUGCCAGCACUUCGGGUGGGAACUCAUGAGAGACUGCCGCAGACAAUGCGGAGGAAGGCGGGGAUGACGUCAAAUCAUCAUGCCCCUUAUGACCUGGGCUACACACGUACUACAAUGGGAGUUAAUAGACGGAAGCGAGAUCGCGAGAUGGAGCAAACCCGAGAAACACUCUCUCAGUUCGGAUCGUAGGCUGCAACUCGCCUACGUGAAGUCGGAAUCGCUAGUAAUCGCAGGUCAGCAUACUGCGGUGAAUACGUUCCCGGGCCU
rnacentral:rRNA from 1 species